rnacentral:rRNA from 1 species
GAACGCUAGCGGCAGGCUUAAUACAUGCAAGUCGAACGGAUCAUAGCAAUAUGGUUAGUGGCGCACGGGUGCGUAACGCGUACACAACAUACCUUUUAGUUUGGGAUAGCCUUGGGAAACUGGGUGUAAUACCGAAUAACAUUGCGAGGAAGCAUUUCUUUGUGAUUAAAGCUACGGCGCUAGAAGAUUGGUGUGCGUAGGAUUAGGUAGUUGGUGAGGUAACGGCUCACCAAGCCGACGAUCCUUAGGGGGCGUGAGAGCGUGAACCCCCACACGGGUACUGAGACACGGACCCGACUCCUACGGGAGGCAGCAGUAGGGAAUAUUGGACAAUGGGCGGAAGCCUGAUCCAGCCAUGCCGCGUGAAUGAAGAAGGC